AUGAAGAACGCAGCGAAAUGCGAUAAGUAGUGUGAAUUGCAGAAUUCAGUGAAUCAUCGAAUCUUUGAACGCACAUUGCGCCCCUUGGUAUUCCAUGGGGCAUGCCUGUUCGAGCGUCAUUUGUACCUUCAAGCUUUGCUUGGUGUUGGGUGUUUGUCCUGAGGGACUCGCCUUAAAGUAAUUGGCAGCCAGUGUUUGGUUUUGAAGCGCAGCACAAGUCGCGAUUCAAAGCUAUACGCCCGCUUCCACAAGCCUUUUUCACUUUUGACCUCGGAUCAGGUAGGGAUACCCGCUGAACUUAAGCAUAUCAAUAAGCGGAGGA
rnacentral:misc_RNA from 1 species